rnacentral:rRNA from 1 species
GCUGAUGCGUUGUUGGGUAGGGGAGCGUUCUGUAAGCCUGCGAAGGUGACCUGUGAGGGUUGCUGGAGGUAUCAGAAGUGCGAAUGCUGACAUAAGUAACGAUAAAGCGGGUGAAAAGCCCGCUCGCCGGAAGACCAAGGGUUCCUGUCCAACGUUAAUCGGGGCAGGGUGAGUCGACCCCUAAGGCGAGGCCGAAAGGCGUAGUCGAUGGGAAACGGGUUAAUAUUCCCGUACUUGGUGUUACUGCGAAGGGGGGACGGAGAAGGCUAUGUUGGCCGGGCGACGGUUGUCCCGGUUUAAGCGUGUAGGUGUGUGUUCCAGGUAAAUCCGGUUCACUUUAACACUGAGGCGUGAUGACGAGGCACUACGGUGCUGAAGCAACAAAUGCCCUGCUUCCAGGAAAAGCCUCUAAGCAUCAGGUAACAUCAAAUCGUACCCCAAACCGACACAGGUGGUCAGGUAGAGAAUACCAAGGCGCUUGAGAGAACUCGGGUGAAGGAACUAGGCAAAAUGGUGCCGUAACUUCGGGAGAAGGCACGCUGACACGUAGGUGAAGUGAUUUACUCACGGAGCUGAAGUCAGUCGAAGAUACCAGCUGGCUGCAACUGUUUAUUAAAAACACAGCACUGUGCAAACACGAAAGUGGACGUAUACGGUGUGACGCCUGCCCGGUGCCGGAAGGUUAAUUGAUGGGGUCAGCGCAAGCGAAGCUCCUGAUCGAAGCCCCGGUAAACGGCGGCCGUAACUAUAACGGUCCUAAGGUAGCGAAAUUCCUUGUCGGGUAAGUUCCGACCUGCACGAAUGGCGUAAUGAUGGCCAGGCUGUCUCCACCCGAGACUCAGUGAAAUUGAACUCGCUGUGAAGAUGCAGUGUACCCGCGGCAAGACGGAAAGACCCCGUGAACCUUUACUAUAGCUUGACACUGAACAUUGAGCCUUGAUGUGUAGGAUAGGUGGGAGGCUUUGAAGUGUGGACGCCAGUCUGCAUGGAGCCGACCUUGAAAUACCACCCUUUAAUGUUUGAUGUUCUAACGUGGACCCGUAAUCCGGGUUGCGGACAGUGUCUGGUGGGUAGUUUGACUGGGGCGGUCUCCUCCUAAAGAGUAACGGAGGAGCACGAAGGUUGGCUAAUCCUGGUCGGACAUCAGGAGGUUAGUGCAAUGGCAUAAGCCAGCUUGACUGCGAGCGUGACGGCGCGAGCAGGUGCGAAAGCAGGUCAUAGUGAUCCGGUGGUUCUGAAUGGAAGGGCCAUCGCUCAACGGAUAAAAGGUACUCCGGGGAUAACAGGCUGAUACCGCCCAAGAGUUCAUAUCGACGGCGGUGUUUGGCACCUCGAUGUCGGCUCAUCACAUCCUGGGGCUGAAGUAGGUCCCAAGGGUAUGGCUGUUCGCCAUUUAAAGUGGUACGCGAGCUGGGUUUAGAACGUCGUGAGACAGUUCGGUCCCUAUCUGCCGUGGGCGCUGGAGAACUGAGGGGGGCUGCUCCUAGUACGAGAGGACCGGAGUGGACGCAUCACUGGUGUUCGGGUUGUCAUGCCAAUGGCACUGCCCGGUAGCUAAAUGCGGAAGAGAUAAGUGCUGAAAGCAUCUAAGCACGAAACUUGCCCCGAGAUGAGUUCUCCCUGAGACUUAGAGUCUCCUGA